rnacentral:rRNA from 1 species
AGAGUUUGAUCAUGGCUCAGAACGAACGCUGGCGGCAGGCUUAACACAUGCAAGUCGAACGCCCCGCAAGGGGAGUGGCAGACGGGUGAGUAACGCGUGGGAACGUGCCCUUCGGUUCGGAAUAACUCAGGGAAACUUGAGCUAAUACCGGAUACGUGCGAGAGCAGAAAGAUUUAUCGCCGAAGGAUCGGCCCGCGUCCGAUUAGCUAGUUGGUGAGGUAAUGGCUCACCAAGGCGACGAUCGGUAGCUGGUCUGAGAGGAUGAUCAGCCACAUUGGGACUGAGACACGGCCCAAACUCCUACGGGAGGCAGCAGUGGGGAAUAUUGGACAAUGGGCGCAAGCCUGAUCCAGCCAUGCCGCGUGAGUGAUGAAGGCCUUAGGGUUGUAAAGCUCUUUCGCCAGGGACGAUAAUGACGGUACCUGGAUAAGAAGCCCCGGCUAACUUCGUGCCAGCAGCCGCGGUAAUACGAAGGGGGCUAGCGUUGUUCGGAUUUACUGGGCGUAAAGCGCACGUAGGCGGAUCUUUAAGUCAGGGGUGAAAUCCCGAGGCUCAACCUCGGAACUGCCUUUGAUACUGGAGGUCUCGAGUCCGGGAGAGGUGAGUGGAACUGCGAGUGUAGAGGUGAAAUUCGUAGAUAUUCGCAAGAACACCAGUGGCGAAGGCGGCUCACUGGCCCGGUACUGACGCUGAGGUGCGAAAGCGUGGGGAGCAAACAGGAUUAGAUACCCUGGUAGUCCACGCCGUAAACGAUGGAUGCUAGCCGUUGGGGAGCUUGCUCUUCAGUGGCGCAGCUAACGCUUUAAGCAUCCCGC